GGGCCCGCACAAGCAGUGGAGUAUGUGGUUUAAUUCGACGCAACGCGAAGAACCUUACCAGGUCUUGACAUCGAACGAAAUCCCAAGAGAUUGGGACCUCCUUUCGGGGACGUGAAGACAGGUGGUGCAUGGUUGUCGUCAGCUCGUGUCGUGAGAUGUUGGGUUAAGUCCCGCAACGAGCGCAACCCUUAUCAUUAGUUGCUACGAAAGAGCACUCUAAUGAGACUGCCGUUGACAAAACGGAGGAAGGUGGGGAUGACGUCAAAUCAUCAUGCCCUUUAUGACCUGGGCAACACACGUACUACAAUGGCGUUUAACAAUGAGGAGCGAACCGGCGACGGGGAGCAAAUCUCCAAAAAGCGCCUCAGUUCGGAUCGCAGGCUGCAACUCGCCUGCGUGAAGUUGGAAUUGCUAGUAAUCGCGAAAUCAGCAUGUCG
rnacentral:rRNA from 1 species